CCCCCCAACCUAUACUCGAAAUCCCAACUACACACUCCAACUUUACGGGAGUCCUAUCACCCACCUGAAUUAUUUAAAACUGUAAUAAUUACACCCCUAAAACGUCAUAACCAGAUCUGUGUUGGCCUGUGAACUUCACGCGUUUUACAGGUGAAAAUUCAAUUAAUUUAUUAUUUUUUUUCAAUUUUUUUAUAAUUCCUUUCCACUUUUUCCUAUACUCUCCCAAUUUCUUAAAAUCUCUAAGGUAAUUUCUUCCCCCAAUUCUUUCAAAUUCCUAUGGAAUUGUGAGGAACAAAGAUGAAUAUUGAUAGCGGGAGCUUGUCAAGCGAUAUUCGAGUUUU
rnacentral:lncRNA from 1 species